UUUUACAAUGGAGAGUUUGAUCCUGGCUCAGGAUGAACGCUAGCGGCAGGCCUAAUACAUGCAAGUCGGACGGGAUUCCGUUAUAGCUUGCUAUAACGGAUGAGAGUGGCGCACGGGUGCGU
rnacentral:rRNA from 1 species